AUUGAACGCUGGCGGCAUGCCUAACACAUGCAAGUCGAACGGCAGCAUGAUGCGUACUUGUACGUAUUGAUGGCGAGUGGCGAACGGGUGAGUAAUGCGCAGGAAUAUACCUUAAAGAGGGGGAUAACUUGGGGAAACGCAAGCUAAUACCGCAUGAACUCUGAGGAGCGAAGCUGGGGACCGUAGGGCCUGGCGCUUUAAGAAUAGCCUGCGUCCGAUUAGCUAGUUGGUAGGGUAAAGGCUUACCAAGGCGACGAUCGGUAGCUGGUCUGAGAGGAUGGACAGCCACACUGGGACUGAGACACGGCCCAGACUCCUACGGGAGGCAGCAGUGGGGAAUAUUGGACAAUGGGGGCAACCCUGAUCCAGCAAUGCCGCGUGUGUGAAGAAGGCCUGAGGGUUGUAAAGCACUUUUAGUGGGGAGGAGGUCAUGGUGGUUAAGAGCUGGCAUGAUGGACGUUACUCACAGAAAAAGCACCGGCUAACUCCGUGCCAGCCGCCGCGGUAAAAC
rnacentral:rRNA from 1 species